rnacentral:rRNA from 1 species
GUAACAGGGAUUAGCUUGCUAAUUCGCUGACGAGUGGCGCACGGGUGCGUAACGCGUAUACAAUCUGCCUUCAAGCGGGAAAUAGCCCAUGGAAACGUGGAUUAAUGUCCCAUAGUAUAUAGACUUCACCUGGAGACUAUAUUAAACAUUUAUGGCUUGAAGAUGAGUAUGCGUCCUAUUAGCUAGAUGGAGUGGUAACGGCACCCCAUGGCAACGAUAGGUAGGGGUCCUGAGAGGGAGAUCCCCCACACUGGUACUGAGACACGGACCAGACUCCUACGGGAGGCAGCAGUGAGGAAUAUUGGACAAUGGAGGCAACUCUGAUCCAGCCAUGCCGCGUGCAGGAAGACUGCCCUAUGGGUUGUAAACUGCUUUUAUACGGGAAGAACCACAUCUACGUGUAGGUGCUUGACGGUACCGUAUGAAUAAGGAUCGGCUAACUCCGUGCCAGCAGCCGCGGUAAUACGGAGGAUCCAAGCGUUAUCCGGAAUCAUUGGGUUUAAAGGGUCCGUAGGCGGGUUUAUAAGUCAGUGGUGAAAGUCUGUCGCUUAACGAUAGAAUUGCCAUUGAUACUGUAGACCUUGAAUUAUUAUGAAGUGGUUGGAAUGAGUAGUGUAGCGGUGAAAUGCAUAGAUAUUACUCAGAACACCUAUUGCGAAGGCAGAUCACUAAUACUAUAUUGACGCUGAUGGACGAAAGCGUANGUAGCGAACAGGAUUAGAUACCCUGGUAGUCUACGCCGUAAACGAUGGUCACUAGCUGUCCGGCCUAAUUGAGGGCUGGGUGGCCAAGCGAAAGUGAUAAGUGACCCACCUGGGGAGUACGUUCGCAAGAAUGAAACUCAAAGGAAUUGACGGGGGCCCGCACAAGCGGUGGAGCAUGUGGUUUAAUUCGAUGAUACGCGAGGAACCUUACCAGGGCUUAANUGCAGUCUGACAGNAGUGGAAACACUCCCUUCUUC